rnacentral:rRNA from 1 species
AAUAGAUACCCCGGUAGUCCACGCCGUAAACGAUGGAUACUAGCUGUUUGAGCGCAAGUUUGAGUGGCUAAGCGAAAGUGAUAAGUAUCCCACCUGGGGAGUACGGGCGCAAGCCUGAAACUCAAAGGAAUUGACGGGGGCCCGCACAAGCGGUGGAGCAUGUGGUUUAAUUCGAUGAUACGCGAGGAACCUUACCAGGGCUUAAAUGUAGAUUGACGUAUUUGGAAACAGAUAUUUCUUCGGACAAUUUACAAGGUGCUGCAUGGUUGUCGUCAGCUCGUGCCGUGAGGUGUCAGGUUAAGUCCUAUAACGAGCGCAACCCCUGUUGUUAGUUGCCAGCGAGUAAUGUCGGGAACUCUAGCAAGACUGCCAGUGUAAACUGUGAGGAAGGUGGGGAUGACGUCAAAUCAUCACGGCCCUUACGUCCUGGGCCACACACGUGCUACAAUGGCCGGUACAGAGAGCAGCCACUUAGCGAUAAGGAGCGAAUCUAUAAAGCCGGUCACAGUUCGGAUCGGAGUCUGCAAC